rnacentral:tRNA from 1 species
GGGUCGGUGCCCGAGCGGCCAAAGGGGACGGGCUGUAAACCCGUUGGCUCACGCCUUCGGUGGUUCGAAUCCACCCCGGCCCA